ensembl:lncRNA
ACUGAGCGACUGAUCUGAUCUGAUCUGAUCUGAACCUUAUUGAUGAUGGUGCCUUAAUAUGGAGGAGACAUUUGAACUUAGCCACACAAAUAUAUCUUGUUCCCACUGAAACUGUUGGUAAUUAGUCAAAGCCAUUUCCCCUGCAUUCCCUAAUCAAGGUUGCUUUAAGACUCCCACGUCCUCCAAGCCGCACGUGGCCCAGACAAUAAGAAACGUGUUUGCCUGAGACGUUUUCUGGGAACCUGGAGUCAGUGGCAUCUAGCUCAGCUGAAUUGGUUGAAACGAAGUGGGAUCCCCGACCCUCCAACUGGGCAUGCGCGGGUGUCUGCCUGUGCCCUUUGGGGUGUGCAGAGGCCCGUAGCCUAGUCACGCCUGCAGGAAAGAUGUCGACACAGCUUUUCCCCAUCACCUAUCCAUGUCUCGCCACGCUCCCUGCGCCCCAGCCCACCGUGCUUCGGCUUCUUUAUUCCUCAUCCCAGAUAUACCCCGCCUCGUGCCUUCGCGGAGGAGGAGCUGCAGUUUGUUCUGCCGGCUACUUGCAUGGCUGCUAUGUGGAUAAACCCUGUCUUUGCUGCGAACCUCAGCGUCUCGGCGUUUUGGUUGCUGCACUGCUCCUCCUGCUCUGCACAGCUCCAUGAAGUGUCAGGUAGAUGUGGCAGAUCACUCUGGGGGCUGCCUGGAGCCACAGAAGAAGCAGCUGCCUCUGUCAUUGCCCCAGGUGCUGACUCCAUCUCAGCCAUGGAAAGUCCCUUCCCCAGAUAGACUCUGGUUUUCCACUGGUUACUCCUGCUGCUAAAAUAAAACCAGGCUGAUCCCUCUACCGCCCAGUGCUAACAGCUGGGGCCGCCUCCAGCCUUCGUCAGGGGUGUGAAGAGGCCAUUUCUUAUGGGCCGUUUUGCUCCUCUGGCUGCCACGUCUCUGCCCUCCAAGUGAACUGCUCUCAUUACCCUGUGCCUCUGCCAAGAUCCUCCUCACGGGCUGGCUGUCUCCCGUUACCCUCCUGUUGAACUCAGAGUUGCCUUCCCCUCAUGUAAAGAGAGAAGUCCACGAGCACAGAAUUUGCACAGGCCUGUGCUAAGCGUGGACGAGGGACCACUAUGAAUAACUCUGGCCACCCCCUCCACCCUGAGUUCCUAUCAACCCAACCGACACAGUCAAACGCCUUUCUUGUAUCUUCCUACCACUGCACAAAUCAGCACAAUAGAAAGAGCUAACAACAAAUACAUUUAGAAUUGAUAUUUAUAGG